GAUGAACGCUGGCGGCGUGCCUAAUACAUGCAAGUCGAGCGAACAGACGAGGAGCUUGCUCCUCUGACGUUAGCGGCGGACGGGUGAGUAACACGUGGAUAACCUACCUAUAAGACUGGGAUAACUUCGGGAAACCGGAGCUAAUACCGGAUAAUAUAUUGAACCGCAUGGUUCAAUAGUGAAAGACGGUUUUGCUGUCACUUAUAGAUGGAUCCGCGCCGCAUUAGCUAGUUGGUAAGGUAACGGCUUACCAAGGCAACGAUGCGUAGCCGACCUGAGAGGGUGAUCGGCCCCACUGGACCUGAGACACGGUCCAGACACCAACGGGAGGCAGCAGUAGGGAAUCUUCCGCAAUGGGCGAAACCCUGACGGAGCAACGCCGAGUGAGUGAUGAAGGUCUUCGGUUCGUAAAACUCUGUUAUUGGGGAAGAACAGAUGUGUAAGUAACUAUGCACGUCUUGACGGUACCAAAUCAGAAAGCCACGGCUAACUACGUG
rnacentral:rRNA from 1 species